GAUGAACGCUGGCGGCGUGCCUAAUACAUGCAAGUCGAGCGAACAGACGAGGAACUUGCUCCUCUGACGUUAGCGGCGGACGGGUGAGUAAAACGUGGAUAACCUACCUAUAAGACUGGGAUAAAUUCGGGAAACCGGAGCUAAUACCGGAUAAUAUAUUGAACCGCAUGGUUCAAUAGUGAAAGACGGUUUUGCUGUCACUUAUAGAUGGAUCCGCGUGGCAUUAGCUAGUUGGUGGGGUAACGGCUUACCAAGGCAACGAUCCGUAGACGACCUGAGAGGAUGACAAGGCACAGUGGAACUGAGACACGGUCCAGACUCCUACGGGAGGCAGCAGUGGGGAAUAUUGCACAAUGGGCGAAAGCCUGAUGGAGCAAUGCAGAGUGUAUGAAGAAGGCCUUCGGGUUGUAAAGUACUUUCAGAGGGGAGGAAGGGAGUAAAGUUAAUACCUGUGCUCAUUGACGUUACCCGCAGAAGAAGCAACGGCUAACUACGUG
rnacentral:rRNA from 1 species